GACGAACGCUGGCGGCGUGCUUAACACAUGCAAGUCGAACGGAAAGGCCCUGCUUUUGUGGGGUGCUCGAGUGGCGAACGGGUGAGUAACACGUGAGUAACCUGCCCUUGACUUUGGGAUAACUUCAGGAAACUGGGGCUAAUACCGGAUAGGAGCUCCUGCUGCAUGGUGGGGGUUGGAAAGUUUCGGCGGUUGGGGAUGGACUCGCGGCUUAUCAGCUUGUUGGUGGGGUAGUGGCUUACCAAGGCUUUGACGGGUAGCCGGCCUGGGAGGGUGACCGGCCACAUUGGGACUGGGGUACGGCCCAGACUCCUACGGGAGGCAGCAGUGGGGAAUAUUGCACGAUGGGCGGAAGCCUGAUGCAGCAACGCCGCGUGCGGGAUGACGGCCUUCGGGUUGUAAACCGCUUUCGCCUGUGACGAAGCGUGAGUGACGGUAAUGGGUAAAGAAGCACCGGCUAACUACGUG
rnacentral:rRNA from 1 species